rnacentral:lncRNA from 1 species
UCCAGCCCAGCUCUAUCCCAACUCGGUCCGCCCUUACUCGAACGACGUCAUUCAUAGUUCUUUGAGUUUAAAAUGAUCUGAGCCCUCCGUUCCAACAUAUCCAUCGGCGCCAAAUCACUUCCAUAUUUUAAUUAAAAUAUUCGACGACCCUAGUUUAACCUAAGACUUCUGUCUCGAUCAAAUACCGUCUCUCACCUCCACCCGUCGCCUACCAUAAUUCGCCCUUGGCAGCACUGAGGCUUCAAUCUACCUCAAUUUAACUUCACACAAUCCUCUCCAUCCCCCACCUCAAAUCCCUAACUUAUUUCCCUCAAAACAUCGUCGAGACUCUCGAAUCUCGUAUCUAAGGUCCACACCCUAAACAUUAAAAUCCCCAAACCUCCCAAGUCGUCUAGAUUCAUUGGUUGAUUAGAGUUGAAGUUGGUGUUGUUCGUCCAUUUUCAACAAGAACAUGUGACGAAUGCCAAUUUCGGCUUGAAAUCAAAGGGGCUGAAGUUUGUACAAAACCAUUGUCCGUCCACAUCUGUCAGGCAUUUCAGUUAUUCUUCCUUCAUCUUCACUUUUAUUCUCAUUCUCUAAUUUGUCGUUUUCUUUCCUUCUCUUCUUUAUUUUCUGCUUCAAAGAUUGUUUUGUUUGAUUUCAGAUUAAAUUGUUGAUCUCAUGGUCUAGUUUUGUUAGUUUUUUUCUUUUAUUUUGUUCAGUACUGGAUAAGUCUAUUUUUUUAGUUUCGUUAUGGUCCAAAUGAAUUGGUUCGUCACUGAUGUCGUCCAAAAUUAUUGUUGUUUCAUUUCUCCUUUCUUCUGCUUUCUGAAAUGGGUCUUGAUUUGGACUCCAUUUGGCUUGGGGCCUCCUCUACACAUAGACAGUCCCUUCAGCAUCAAGGCCCAAGGGUUUGUGGAUUUCUUUGGGAUUUUGAGUUUGUUUUCGAGCCCAGCUGGGGUCGAAGGUAAUUGGGAGGGGUAUUAAGGGUAGUCUAGAGAUUUUAACUAACAAAAUCUCUUGUAACGAUGAGGAAACUUCUAGGAAGGUGGGGUUUGGGACUGUUCAAAAAAAUAGAAUUUGAAUUAAGGGAUUCACUAGCAAAAUAAGAAUUUAAAAAUGAUUAAUGUGCAAAAUUUGAAGUUUAUUUCUACUGCCCCAGGGCUUCUCUAUAGAAGGCUGGUUACUUCCUAAUCUAGUUAGAUUUUUUAGAAUUAAUAACACUGAAAAUAAUUAGAAACGGCAGAGUUAAAAGUUAUUAAAAUUUCGAUGAAGAAUUUUGUUUUCGUUUCCUCGUUCUUUCUUAAUUUUUCAUAGUCCAGCCUUCCUCAACAAUUCCUGGUUAUUCUGUGUUCAAAAUGAUUUAAAAAACUUGAUUUGUUGCUAUUUGGUUUUGCCGAGUCACUGUUGUUGCUUCCUCUUUAGCUGAAUUAUUGCUGCUGUUUCUUCUUAAGCUCCAAGCUUAUUUUCAUUAUUAUUUUGAUGUAUUCAGGUAUACUUUGGACCUCAAAUGACAUGUUGAAAACGAAAGUUAGAUACAAUGUUUCAUUGCAGUCUAUUUUGUAUUAUUUGAUUUUGUACUCAGUUUUGUGUAUAUUUACGUGUUUGUUAAGUUGCCAUUAUUGAAGUAUUUGUAAAGUAAAUAAACAAUUUAGUCUAGUAUGUUUUGAGUUGUUAACUGAUUAGAGUGUUAUUAGACAUAUUUAAUCGUGCUUUGGUACUGCUAGUUUUAAUAUUGAGUAUUAUGUUCUGAAGGUGGACAUGUGAGCAUUGUUGGUGAGUGAUUGAACUUGCGUAUAGAAUUAAAUGGGAAUCCUUAUUUGGGUUUCAACAUUAUUCAAGAAUGGAGUUGGUGCCUGUUUGGCUUGUAAUAGUUUUUGGACCUCAUAAUUUUUAAAUAAGAAAUCAUUUGAGCAAUUAGACUUGAA